AAGAGAAAGUUGUAUCUAAAAGAAGCUGCUAACUAUCUUUUAAAGCGGUUAAAAUCCGUUUUUCUCUUA
rnacentral:tRNA from 1 species